AGUUUAUAAGAUAUUUUCUGCUGCGGUUCAAUCAGAGUUUAAUUAAAAUCCAUAAAUUGUUUUUGUAAUUUUUAUAAAGGAGGUCAUGAUUAGAUUAAUAUUAUGCUUUUUUGUAUUUACUGCGUUUGUUAUUGAGGCAGAGGACAGAGUAUGUACAAACGACAAUGCAGGAAACCGGAUUUGCAUUAUUCAAAAUGAAACCGGGCUGUUUAUCAUUACUGAAAUACCAUACACCCACUCAACGCUUCCGUUUAGAACCAGCAGCGCCUCAAGGCGUCCGGAUAGAACCAGGUCCUCCAGGCGUCCGGAUAGAAACAGGUCCUCCAGGCGUCCGGAUAGAACCAGGUCCUCCAGGCGUCCGGAUAGAACCAGCGCCUCUAGGCGUCCGGGGAGGCGGACGACGAGGCCAACGCCCGCUGGAGAACCAACGAACCAAGGAUCAGAGACGAAGACUACGAACAUAAGAAGACCUCUAAGGUGUACAGGCUUGGCCAGGUGUGUACCUAUAUUAUUCGAUCAAGAUAUCGGAUCACAAACUUCGCCUACCACAAAAACAACGAGAAGGACCAGUGGAAGAACGAUAAUUAAAUGCAGAGGAGCUGCCAAGUGUAUGCCUAUAUUAUUCGAUCAAAAUAUAACAACGACAAAAACGACGAGAUCGACGAGAAGGACCAGUGGAAGAACGAUAAUUAAGUGCAGAGGAGGUGCCAAGUGUAUGCCUGUAGUUAAUUAAUAUGUCGAGACAUAAAAACUUGUUCAUAUCCCCAAGGAUAUACUUAAAUAAAAUAAAUGCUUGGAUUACUACUAAAUAUCUGGCAUGGGUUUGGACCAAUGAUGCCAGAUGUCUGGUAAUAAUGCAGGCAUUUAUUUUUAAUAGCCAUAUCGGUCAUUAUUGGUACAGUCACCUGCAAUAAUAAGCAAUUACUCUUCGAAGGCCGCAAAAAUAUGAGACACGCUCUUAUCCUCCUAAGGCUCAAGGUUCUACUUAUAGUAGUUUAUUCAGUUCAAUUAAAUUUAAAUCAUAUUCGCCUGGAACAGAGUUGCUUUUACUUUGUUUCGUUCCGUUUUUGAACAACGCAAAAUAAAAUUUAUUUCCUACAUUGUAGGUCCAAAUUUCUGUGGCAAAUUUUGCAUUUUUCAUUUGUAUUGCUGGGCCGUACGAGGCUAAUAUGGCUUUACAAAUACGAUCGUCUCAGAUAUUGUUGCGGCCUUCGUUGUGUAACAUAUCGAUACUUUUGGGUUAAAUUGGCGUAAAGGACAAAAUGCAACUUUUCAGGAGACGCGAAAAACUGCGAUUUUUUUUUUAAUUUUGAUAUAUUUUUGUUGUUUAUCGAGCUAUAUUUCUGAUGUGUAUUAGAAAAGUACUCAAAAUGUUAGUCUCUUUAACCUAAAUUAGCAAUCAUAUCUAUAAAUUAAAUAGGAAAGAAGUUAAUGUCCUUUAAAAUUGGUCAAAACAGUAUCAAUGUCCUUUGCGCCCAUGAAAUUUUUGAUAAUUUAGUGAAUCUUGUUUAGUAAAGGGUCGUAAGUGACGUUCUCAGACUAUUUUAUUACAAAUUUGGGGUGUAUUAGUUACCAGCCAUGGUACACACAUGUUAACUGUUUUCAGCAUAGUUUACUGUUACGAAGCUUAAAAAUGUAUCAAACGGUAGUUAAAUAUGCUAAGUAUAUCCCGAUCACAGUUGUAAUUAAUAUUUUUCUGAUAAUAUAGUAAUAAUAAUGAAAACACAAUAUUUUUAACCAAUUAUAUUAUAAAAAAGAAUUAAAUGCUCAAAAAGUUGCUAAUAUUCGGGAAUGAAGGUAAAGUAAAUAUCCCACUGCUUAACACUAGCCACCUUAUAUUAUAAUAAUCAUAACAUAACAGCUUUUAAUCAUAACAAGGGAAGUAUUAGAUCGGCUAACUAUGAUUGGAAUUAGCAUAUCAAGCAUUUGAACGUUUACUUAGUGAAUACAUGUCCAAAAACUAUAAUUCAAUACAGUAAGUUAUAAUAGGUAAUAAUACUGUUUCAAUAUGUGAAGAUCUCUUAUUUCAAAAUACGAUACAUCAAGAUAUUUAAUCGAAAACCACUAUUAAUUCCUAUUCAAGUUACUCAAGUAGUGAUUCCUAUAGCUGCAUUAAUUUCUGAUUUCAAACACAUAUAAAAAUAUAUUUUGUUAGAACGAUUAUGAAAUAAUUAAGUAAAUGAAUUAAUUAAAACCGAUUCGGUUAUUAAGUAUUAAUUACCACUUCGUUCAGAUACGUUUCAAACUUUCUAAAGUGCUUGAAAUGAUUUUUUUUAAGGCGUUAUUCUAAAGUGCAUGAAACGUUUUUUUUUGAAGGAGUUAUUUUGGCCGAGCUCAAGCAAUGACACAAAUAAUUAAAUUACGCACAAACAACCACUUCCAUCGCUCAGGGACGGAUAAUAAACAGUCAUAACAUCACCAUGCGCUGGUCAAGCUGCAUGCCCAAUAAGAAUCGGGAUAGCGAGGCGAUGGGCAGUCGCUGAUACACCUGUCUCGUUCUCCUAAUCAACAAGAAAUGCGAGUUGGAAAGGUACCGAGUGUAUUAUGCACAGGCUAGUACGUUGUCGCAGGACUAUAAGAGAUUCCACUGCGAGUAAAACAAUGAUAGUUGCGGAAAAAACACUGAACUGCGGUUUAUAAUUUGAAGGGCAAAUAUUACAUUUUAGUAGUAAAGGACCCAUAAAACGAUUUAUUUAUUUGGCAUUAUAGACCUUUACGCCCAUGAACAAAGAUAACAGCGGAAAAAACUCUUAGCGUAAAUGCUUUCAAAUUUAAGGGCAAACAUUAUAUUAUAGUAAUAAAGGUCCCAGAAAACGAUUUAUUUGAUAUUAUUCACCGCUUCGUCCAUGUUAUUUGUAUUAAAUUUGGAGUUUAGAAACUAAUUUGAGGAGGUAAAAGACACAAGUAUUAGAAAAGUCCUUUACAACCUUGUUCGCUUCUUAUACUUAUUAAAACUAUUUUUAGAGUGGGUCGUAAAGGGCAAGUACAAUAAUAUCAAUAGUAAAAUAUGUCCUUUACGACCAUCUUGACCAUACGAUAUGAAAAAUCAUUAAGACAAAUGAAGGGCUUAAAGGACGACAAAAGACAUGUCAGUAAUUUACAACAAUAUUUAUAUUUAGCGGUAACCUUUACGAUAAUAUCUUUAAACAUCUAAUUUGUAACUGGUCAUUUACGCCCGUCAAGCUAAGCUGUUUUUGCAAGUUCAUAGUGUAAAAAUUGGGCCACUUUUUAAGAGAUAUCGAAAUUUUAACUAUACGGGUAAUUCUUAUUCUUAUGCAUUUUUUGUGUAACACGUAAGAAUAGCAUGUAUCUUUGUGAAAAUAAGUAAACUCUAUAUCAAUAUACUUAGCAAUUUACCUCUAGUUUUAGGUCAACCUAAAUGUAUUGUCCUAAGAAUAUUAGAAACAUAUUAAAAAAAAAUUACAAGUGCGAAAUGUCACGGACCGUGUAGUGUGCCUUCCCCAGAUUUUGUGAUAUUUGAUUUUUUUUUGAAAAAAUAUGAAGUGAUUUUGCAAUAAUUUAUAUCAAAUAUAAAGCACUAAUCCUUGUUCUACAACACUGUUUAAAAAUUGUAUAGAUUUAUAACGAUUUUAUAUAAUUUUAAACAACAUACAUUUUGUGAUUAGUUUUCGCGUCACCACCGCGCGUGGUAAUAUAAACAUGCGGUACUCGGUAGAAAAUUAUCUUUACUACUGGCAGCCUUAUUAAAGAUUUUUUAGAACAGCAACACUGUGUUGUUGUCAGGUUUACAAAUGGCUGAAGGGAGAAGUUUUGUCGAAAAUUAUUUAUUUGUGUUCAUUUGUUAAAACGGUCAACCUUAACGCGUCAACGCCGUGUUAGAGCUUUAAAAGUAAGUUGCAGUUUCACGUUAUUGUUUGUAAUAUAAGAUAUACCUCAUACAUUGCAGAUUAAGCUAAUUAUUUAACAUUUGCAAAAUCAAAGGAAAUGUUUGUGUAAUAUCGAACAUGUUCCAAAUUAUCACGACCGUGUCCUCAAAAAUCUGUCACCGCUACGGACUUUUGAGUCCACGUUCGUGACAUAUAGACACGUGGUCGUGUCAUUCUUAAUUCGUUUGAUUAAUUUAGAGGCACAUGCACUUUUCAGAAAUGCAUUUUUAUUAGCUACAGAUCAUUUGCUAUUAUUGCCCGACUGCCAAAGCAAUAAAAAUGUUUUUCGCUUGUAUGUAUGUAUGAUGUGUAUCGAAUUCUUUGUCACGCUCUACAGCCCAUAUAGUUUGACGGAUUUCAACGUCUGAGCUGUCAUAAGGUUUGUGGUAGUUAUAGGAGUGACUUAGGCUAUGUUAAAAUAACUAUAUAAAUCAAAGUAGCCGAUUUGGCCACCAAAAUGCCGAAAUGUCACGACUGAGGGACACUUUGUCACAACCGUGUUUAUGUGCUAAUUUUAUUUACCUUUCCCGAGGGUAUCGAUAUCGAUAUUAUUGCAGGUGACUGAACAAAUAAAAUACUACUCGUACAACUGGAAAUAAAUUGAAAAAUUUACAUGUUUUCGUGAUUUUUUUCUGAUUGCAAACAUUGUCUUAUUUCCAUGUGAAUUUCUUUAUGACUUUUGCCCUUUAUUUUACCGUGAAAAAAAAAUUUGAUUUAUUUUGUAAUAAUCCUGAUGAAAGAAGAAAAAGCAUUAAAAAUGAUAUCUUAUCUACCCACGCAUCUGUUAAAUUAAAACAUAAUUAACAUAAUAAUAUUUAAUACAACAAGGCACUUAGAAAUUUCGACUCAGUAUUGUUUUUUAAAGUGGAUGUAUGUAAAUUAGUGAAAUUACGUCACAGGACAGGACCUGCCAUUUUUCGAGUCGAAUAGUUCCCUUAGAGACAUUUUCCCGUUAAGGUUGAAUUGAGUUAGCAAUUGUCAUCCCUCACCUAAAUCAACCCUAAAUAAAUGCCACUCGUCCUGAAAUGCCUAACAGCGAUGUUGCGAAUAUUCGCAUCCGCAUCCGCGGAACUUCCGCAUUAUUUGCAACAUCCGCAUCUGCAUCCGCAUCCGCAUAAAAUCGAUGCGGAGCUUAUGCGGAUGCGGAUGUUGAACAAGUCGGUACAGGAAAGUCUUAGCGGCCAUGGUAUAAUAAUAUACUCCGCCUGGUACUCCAUUCCCGUCUUUUCUAGGUCACCUAACUGACACGGGCUUACGUCAUCAUGCGACAGCGCUAUAUGAUAAUAUGCGAUAGCGCUAUAUAUAGCGGCCAUGUUGUUGUGACGUAGCCCCGUGUCACUCUGGGAAUGGAAGACCAUGUUUUAUUAGACUAUGUUAGCGGCGGCG